CUUUUUUUUUUUUUUUUUAGCUUUUGUUUGACACCGUUCACAAAUCAGGUUGCAUAAUUUAUUUAUUUAUUUUUAGAUUUGUUUGACAACUUUUACAAAGCAGGCUGCACAAAAUUUUUUUUUUCUUAUGCUGUUAAUUGCUAUCAAUUGACUUUUUUUCAGGGAUCCUAUUAUAUUUUGGAUAAAUUGCUGAGCGGUUUCAUAUUUUAAGAAUGAUGCAAUGUAAGUGCAUUACAUAGGACGUUGACUUUGUAAUAAGGUAGUAAAACAAGAAAAGGUGUAGUUUAUAGAAUUCUACGGUGCAGAACAUAAGAAAAUUAGUCAAGUAAAAAUAACCGUAACCAAGUUUGAAUGAGUCGAUUAUGAUGGAGCCAACUUCGUGUAUGAUCAUAUUUCUAAAUUCAGUUGGUACAUUUUGAUGGCUAGGAAUAGGAUGACCAUAGCAGCAAGUGAAUAAUUAUACUCGACUUCAAAGUUGGAGAAAAAAAAAAUUCAAAGCAAAUAUGUUCCAAAAUUCAAGUUAUGUUCCUUGCGUAUAUGCUUCGGCCUCAUGCAUUCUUCUGGUUCCAAAAUUCCUGCUUGUUCAUCAUGGGGAGCAUUGACUUCCUUCCUUCUUUUGAGCAAUUUUCUAUUUUGCUGCCUUAACGAUGAAGAAAUGAAAUGAGAAACCAAUGCGGCUGGCUGCUAGUGGACUGGUGGUGUGUUUUGCAAGUAAAUAAUUUUGUAAAUUCCUUCCUGUGCCUGAGGAAAACAUAAAAGUGAGCUCUAGUCCAUCCCGAAAUUCUUUCCUUCCCACUGGCAUCUAUCAUGUCUCAUCGUUGACUACGCGUCAACAAGAAAUUUCGUGAGAACUAUACCUCCAUUUUCCUUUGUCUUUUCCUUUGUCUUGAAGCUCCGAAUAUUUUGAUUUAAAAAUGUUAGGUUCAUGAGUAAAAGGUUAUGUCUCACAUUGGUCCUAGAGAUGGAGAAAGAGCGGUUAAUAUGUAAGUAAGGACUCAAGACCUAGAUAACUGUUUGGAUACCAAAAUUAUUUCAAAUAAUAUUUCGCUAGCAUCACAAACACAUUUUCCAACCUAUCUUUUUAUAUUCCCAACAUAUUUUUAUCUCACAUACAUCAUAUCACAAAAAGUGCUACAGUAAUUAUUCCAAAUAAUACACUAUCCAAACAAACUGUUAAACUUUUGGGUUAGAGUUAAAUUCUUGACUUACAUAUUGGAUUUUUUGGUGGACUCUCUCGAGGUGUUUCUCCUUAACAAAAAAUUCAAAUCAUUUUUUUUCAUCAAAGUGUCGUUAAUAUUUAAUUUGGAACAGAUUCAAGAUUUUUGUUAGGGGCAAACAAUAAAUAAAAAAAAUUUUAAAUUUAAGAGGGGCAAUAUUAUAGCUAAAUGAGGGAAAUUUAUGAAAUUCAAAAAGUACAAAUAUGGCAUAAAUUUAAACAUUUUAAAAAAUUUCAAGAUGAUUGUAUAAUUUUAUCAAAUUUGAUGAGGGCAAUUGUCCAUCCUCGAUGGCAUGCGUACACUUUAGAUGUUGCAAGACAAAAAGCAAUUGUCAUUGCAACUUGCAGUGUUAAAAAAUGUUAAAGAGUGUUUGUCAACUCUUAAGUUGCGUUAAUUCUUUAACAAAGGGAUACAUAGUGGACGUUUCGUCAUUUCCCUUUUAUUCUUUGUUGAGGUUGACUUUGUGGUGUCCAUGGCUUUAUGCUCCAUUUGCACGGCUAAUUACCUUUUUUUAAUGCUUGAUUCCUAAUCAAUCACACAUAAAGUACUCCAUCGGAAAGCUUUUCCAUUAGUAUACCACGCUUCAACUACUGGGUUUCCAUUAGUAUAUCUUGAAUUGGGUCUUAAAGAUAUAACCUGUGUCCUCCACUAAACCAGAUUGAAAAAAAAAAAUUAUUUAGUUGGCCUCCAACUACUAAACAAUACAUACGUUCCAGGUUUUAAAAGUGUCAAACACACGAAUAUCCAUAGAUUAGUCGUUUAGUAAUGAGCUUAUUAAUUAACUUUGAUAUUUACUUGAAUAUUUUACAUUAUUUGGAAAGGUUGCUUGUAAUCUUCUGUUUGAGGUUUUCACUUGAACGCCCCUUAGCAAAAGUUUCUUCUUAAUUUCCUAUUGGAACCCUAUUAUGAAUUGACAAGAAAACGUCUCAGGCAACUAAACUUUUGAUAAGCCCUCGCAGGUAGUCCGAUCAACUGAUUCCAUAGUCUGGUAGUUAUCAGCAGGUUCCAUGAUCGACUCUCGUACGAUGAUCUCUCACUGUGUAUCUUUGGGACAAAAUACUACACAACCUUAAGGGAUUAGUUUAAUCGAAAAACUGGAUUACCCCUAAGUAAAAAGAAAAAAAAACCUAAACUCUUGAUAAUUUUUCGGUAGGUUAUUUAGUCGUAAUGAUUUUGGCUAUUGUCCUGCGUCACAGACUUCUUGGAGGUGUACAUACUAGUUAAAAAAUCUUUAGCUGCUGGUUCCACAACCCAUACCGGUAUUGACAAUAAUAAUUACCACUACAAAUGUGGAAAUUACUAUAAGUUAUAGACAGUUUUUUGCGUGUAAUCCAUUUUUCACUCUAUUAUCCAUAUAGUACAUGCAUAUUCACCCCAGAACUUGUGUAACAUUAUCUGGGUUGUUAAAUUUAUUUAUCGUUCAUAAAUCACCCAUCAUAAAAGAACUCAGAGAUCCUACCAUUGAAGCCUGAAGCCAAGAGCUGCAUUUUUUAUUUUCAUUUUUUGUGUUUGGUUUGAUGUGGACAAAAAUGCUCCAAAAAUGGAUCCAGUUACAAAAUUCUGUUUAUUCACGGACUUGGAAUUCUUCUUUUCUUGAGAUCCACUCAAGCCUCAACUCACCCUGGGACUACACAAAUGCCUAAACCUGCAAUAGUAUAAUUGUCCAGCGACCAUAAGCCCACUUCUGGGUCUUUACCAAUAUAACCAGGCUUAAUGCAUGCUGUCGUUUCCUGACAAUUCUCGAGUCUUGAACACUUCGUUGGUUUUGAUACCGGAGAUUCAUCCGUGUAGAAGUUCUCAGCAUAGUCAGUAUAUAUGCUAACACGGUUGGAUGAAUGGUACAUAAGUCAGUAUAUAUGCUAACACGGUUGGAUGAAUGGUACAUGAGUAAAUUUUGAAUUUCAAUUUCAAAUUUUGCACAUGUAUCAUAUAUCUAAUGAUGAUAGCAUUUGAAAUUUAAAAAUUUACUCAUGUAUCAUAUAUCUAAUGAUGAUAAUAUAUAUAUACUGACAGACAGUGUAUAUAAGAUUAAUCAUUUUCUUAAUAUGUUGUUUACUCGUUUUCUGCCACGAUUUGGAGCCAAGAAGAAUGGGCCUCAAACAACUUUCAUCCCAAUGCCAAGCAACCCAAUCCGGUUACGCUACGACAUCCCUAAAUCAUCCGUUUAUCACAUGAGCGCUGCUUGGGAAAAGUCCAAGUGGGCCAAAAACUCUGACAAAGAUCACUGGUGUGGACCAACGUUGGAAGAAUUUGACGAAGCAACUGGUGGCACAGGUCUAUUGUCUUCUUCUGCUCUUUUGGUUUUGGUCAUGAAGGAUCGAAGAAGCAGCAUCAUAACUUUCAGUGAGGGCAGAAGAAGAAAUUUAAGAUUCAAAGUAGUGUUAAUUACAUUUAUCUCCCUUAAGAUUUGACAAAACUAUCAUUCAAACCCCAAGAUUCUGCCGAAUAACAAAAAACCCCCUCGAAGUAACUUCCGUUAAAUAUUCAUAACAAAACCAGUGAAAAGACUAAAUUCCGCAAUUGCAAAUGACAUACUUUGGACAAAAUCGUUAUCACCCUCUUGUUUUAUUUUCCUUUUUAGUUUAUCUUGGUCUUCUUCAUGAGUAGUAUUUGGAAGAUUUUAAUAGAAUGCUCAUAACAAUGACAGCCUGACUUCGUUGGCUACCAUCAACUUCACCCGUGACCACCGAUUAUUGCUAGCAAAUGGCAAAAUUCAGUGAAAUUUUCACCUAAUACUCAAAUUGUUUGCGUAGAUGGCAAUUCUUGCCUUAUAUUGGGCAAAAGAAUGGAUGCAAAUAGCCUAAAUCAACAGCUGCUCCUUUCCUUCUCCGCUCAAAUGUAAGAUCAAUCCCACAAUGUUUACUUCAAAACACUCAUUACGAUGCACAAAUAUGAACAAGUCCACAAAUUAGCAAACUUUUAUUAAGGAAUCGCAAAUCAAGAGCCAAGAACCCCAAACGUCUAAAUCCAUUUCAUCUCUUCGGAUCCAUAAUUCCAAUUAAGAUUUUUGUUCAUAAGAAGAUCCUCGUCGAGCAAAUAGGAAUCUUGAUAAGCUCAAUCUUUUUUGCCUAAGACUAGUUUGGAGUCAUUAAUUGAAGAAAAAACAAACAGAAAAAAUCCAUGAUAACCAUUUGCUUGUCUGAAAUUUGGAGAUUAAAGAAUCUUCAGGGAUGCUCAAGCUGCACUUUGGAGGGUUGUGGAAGGUUCUUGAUAUUUCUACAAAUUAAUAUGAUGUUGUAAAGUAAAACACAUAAGAAUUUGGAGUUUUGCUUUUAAUUAAAAAAAAAGAAUAAAAAGAAGAUGGAGGAAGCGGCAAUAGACAAAUUGGUUGGAGUAAGUUGCUUGGGAAGGAAGUGAGAAAAGUAGGAAUUCCAAAAGGAAGGGAAGCAGUGGACUCUUGCAAUUUACGACUGCCAUUUUUCCUUUUUUAGGUAGAGUAUAGAUGAAACUAAUUUUUUGGGUACUUAGCAAAGAAAACAGUAAUAAAUAGGUACUAUAAGGGCAUAUUAUUGGACACUGACAAUAAAUUUUUACUAACAACUACACCAUCUCUAACGGCACAAGACACUAGGGGCAUUCUGAUAAAUGUUUGCCCAUUUAAAGGGUGUGAUUGUUGUUUGGUCAAAUCUUGAGUCUCAUUUUGCAAUUUAGUUAAACCUCAGCGAAGGUAAAGGUAACAAAUCCUCCCAAGUAUGAGUCUGGACUUUGGAGUUCGGCGGGAUGGAUGAUAACGAAAGCUUAGAAUAGAGUUGCAUAAGCUGAGCCUAGACCAGAUAAACAAAUGGCAACGUGAACUUCGCGGCUCGAAAAAAAAAAAAAAAAAAAAAAACAAACAAAUGGCAACGUGGUGAAUCCAACUUCCAAGAUGGAUGGUCCGAACUCCGCAAUUAAGGACGCUGGGAGACCCAUGCUCCCCAUGCAUAUUGGGAAUCUAAGUCCCAAUAAUAUAUCAUUCUAGCGGACAGGUUUAGCUGGAAGAAUUUGUAGCCAAUAGCAUUUGGAUAAUUAAGGGCCUUUGAUUCUUGGAGUAUCAUCGUAUUCCUUCCCCCGCAAAAUAAACGAGGAACCUUCGCAGCUCUAGAUCAACAAAUGAUAAGGGCUGUGUGUGUUUUUUUCAGCGUAUAUGUUGAUCUCAACUAGGCUGAGUGGCACCAACGGAUGUUGAUGCAAGUGGAAGGGGCUUGCAUUCCUUAACCAUGAGAUCUCGGGUUCGAAAUUCAUGAAAAUGAAAAAAAUAAUGUUGGGAGAGCUUUUCCUUGUAAGGAACCCGAUUCGACUCGAACAGGAUUAAUCGCAAACUGUAAAACGGAUGCAGACACUUCUGGGUUAUACCUAACUAGGCUUAAUGGCUGAUUGCUCCUCCUUUGUGUAUGCUGUACAUUAGCUUGGAGAGUUCCAAGUUCCCUAGUGCACACAGAAAUACAAUCAGAAUCUUGCUCUGAUCACACCCCUUCCCCUUACGAUUAUUUUUUCUUUUUAAUUUUGCCGUUUUCUUCGAGAUAGAAGGAGGGCAAUAUGGGAGAUCACGACAAACAUGGGCCUCAAAUUAACAAUGGCCACCCAAAAUGACAACCAAACCAAUCCGAUCCGAUCCGCUAAAAUAUAAGAAACCCAUAGACCAUCCCUCUUCUCAUUUACUCCAAUCCGAUGAUCACAUGAUAUGCAGUUUGUAAAACCCAAGUGGCCCAACCUGAAAAAGCUGAGACGUGGAUGAACCAAGGUCAUAGAAAUUAACUUGGAACCGGUAGCUUCGUUGUAUUGUCUUCUUCUUGCUUUUUGGACAUGGAAGAUCAAGCACUCGUUAUUCAAUUAAAACAAGAAAAUCUUGCAAUGGCAGUAGUAUAUUUUUGAGUUCAGCUUUCAGAGGGAUCGAGAACAAAGCUUAUAAAACAGUUGCCAUGUGCUGAAUCUGACUCCAUAACCAUUUCCUCUUGGUCGAAUACAAAGUGGAAGGUCCUCCAAAAUAAAAUAAAUGGACUGCUUAUUCGGUUCCUGUCGAUUGGAAUUUGGAAGGACCAGUUUUGGCCAAUUCGGCUGUGGCACCCUUACUCCAUGCAUAUCACGACUCUAGGAUCCGUGGUUCUCCAAACCCUUUUCCGACGGGUCACCUGCCAGAAUUUCCAAAAUAUGUUUUUGUCUUUUAGAUGGAUCACGGGUGAGCUCUGCCAAGAAGGAAAAAAUGUAUUAGAGUGAAACAAGACAAGAAAACGAAAAACUACUAUAAGAAGAAAAAAAAAUAGUGCAGAGUAACCCACAGCUAAUAAACUUGUAAAAGUCUCAUUUUAGUUGAAGAAAUUGUAAAGUUGAAAUAGUAUUACAUAGAUGCAGUAGCCAGAGUUUUAAAAUCUUCGUAGUUAAAUCUACUGCGAACGUCUUUUCUUCCCAUCUGUCAAGAGCUAACAUCUGUGCCAGCAUAUUUACAAGCUUAGCACACCAUAAAAUUAUUAUUAUUUUUUUUUUAGCAAUUCUUUUAAUGAGAGAGGGGUGAGAUUUAAGAAAUAGGGAGUGAAAGCGAGGGUUUAAAUCCAAAACCUCUAAUUUAUGUAUUCAACACAAAAGGAAGACAUAACUCUAGACAAUAAUUUCAUUUUCAUUGUAGAUGAGUGGAGUUGUUGCAUGGAUCCGCUGUUGUUCUUUUUGGAGCAGUUGAAGCUUGUAAAUUCUCGUACAUUUCCUAGCAUAAGACAGUCGUUAUUUAUUCUUACUACGGUCAGUUAACUGUCGUUAAAAGCUCAUAGGAGAAGGAAAUACGUGCUUUAUACGCGGGAAGAUGCAGUUUUAAUCCUCGAUUAUAUACCCCCUUUACAUGCCCUGUGUGUGCAGGCAAGGAUAUUGCACGUGUAGCUUUAAAAACUUCCAAGAUAGUGGCAUCAAAUCACAAGUUGCAGCUCUCUCUUCUUUUCCUCUUCUGUUUUUGCCUAUUUGAGGAUAUGAAGUUAUGAACACAGCUCUCAAGAACCUGCUCCAAACUUGUUGCAGGAGUGAAGGCGACAUUUUUGGCCCUUGGUUCAUUAAUUUUGCAACUAUCAUUUUUUUAUUAGAAACGAGAAAGCUGGAAGAGUGAACUAAAUAUGAGGAGAUGAAGUUAUGAACACAGCUCUCAAGAACCUGCUGUUGCAAGAGUGAAGGCGACAUUUUUGGAGAUGGAUCCACCUGAAUUAUUGAGAAUUCAGAAGAAAUUAAACUACCUUUGAAAAUGUUUCAAAAAAUCUUGAACGAGAAAUGCAGACAAGGAGUUUAAAACCACUCAUGGGACUUUUGUCAAUCACUGGUGGUUGGUUGGAAGGUUCAUAUAGUUGUCCCAGUGAGCCUUUUCUCCGAGAUCCUUCUACUUUACCAAGUCCUGCCUCAUCCCCGCUCCAACAACCCCCCCCCCCAACCCAUCCCCGAAAAACAAAACAAGGGAAGUAGUUUUUUUUUUUUUCAGAUUUUUGAAGUUAACUAAUUAAAUCUAAUCCCAGAUUUAACUCCAAAAGCCACCAACUCUUGAGACGAAUCUGGGACUUAACUAUCCAACUCCAAAGAAACGAACAAAAUAAGGGAAGUAUUGAUACCAAACUCCAAAAAGGAGCGUUUGGAUACCAAAAUUAUUUUAAAUAAUAUUUCGCUUGCAUUACAAACACAUUUUUCAACCUAUUUUUUUAUAUUUUCAAUCACCUUUUUAUCUCACAUACAUCAUAUCACAAAAAGUGUUACAAUAAUUAUUCCAAAUAAUAUUUCAAAUAAUACACUGUCCAAACAAACCAAUAAGGGAAGUAUUUUUUUUUCAGACUUUUAAAGUUAACUAAUUAAACCUAAUCCCAGAUUUAAUUCUAAAAAUCGGCAACUCUUGAGAUAAAUCUGAGUACUUAACUACCCAAUCCCUAACCCGAAGAAACGAACAAAAUAAGGGAAGUAGUUGGUUUCAAUUUUUGUCGGAUUCUAUUUCAAACGAAAGGACAAUCAAUCCUUAAAUUACUUUGCAGCCAAAAAAAAAAAAAAAGAAAACAAAAAAUAGAAGAAUAAUAUAAGAGUGUGACUUUUAUGAUACAUCAGCCAAGCUACUACUUCACGUAAUAUUUCAGACUAUUCCCUUUAGUUCGUAGUUAGGUGAUUUGCUUUGACAUUUUUACAUGUCAAUUAUUACUGCCUUUGCAGUGAAAAAUGCCACUCAACUAACACUAGUCAUAAUCGUUCUUGCAAAGAAAUUAGAACACUACUAUCUUAAAACUUUAUUUAAGGGAAGGGAUUUUGGUAAAAAAAAAAAAUUUUUUUUUUUUGCUCUCCUCAACUUUGGAAUCAUUUCAUCAUCACAAUAAUAGAGAGCAAAAUACAGUAGCACCAUACCAGAUAAAAUAAAUUAACCAACAUUUAUAAAUGGAGUGGCUUAUUUCUCUUCCUCUUACUUUUAUUCUUAUAGUAUUUGUUUAUUUUCUCAAUCGACAAAAUUUACACGUACAUGGAUUGUGACCAUACCAUACCAGCGUCCAGUAGUAGUAGAUGUGGACCCCGUAAGUGUCAGCCGCGGCAGUAUAAAAUACAAUAGAAGAACUUACCACCAGUGGCAGAUACUGUGAAGAAGGGGCCCACCACGUAGAACCUUUCAAGCAUUUGAAAGAGAAAUACUGCGGCGUUUGGAAUCUUUUUUUUUUUUUUUAAUUCCGGUAAGAGGCGUAUGGAAUUGGAAUCUUGACAAGUGGGAAAAGUGGACCCGUCGGAGUAUUUAUUUCCUUGGAUAUUUCCUGACGCACACGCACGUAUUUCUAAUCAGCCAGGCGCAAUGGAAUUUCGAUACUUGUUACCAAAGAGAUCCAUCAAUGUGGCUCCACCAUUACCAUAGCCACGGCAUGGGUUGAUUGAUUUGACCUUUUAUUACUUGCCGAUUGGGACUCUCCUUCCCGGUUAAGAUCCAGGAAUCAAGAUUGCUCGUAAAAAAAAAAAUUUAGAAACGGCCAUGCUAGUUGGUCCGGUAUGGUGUGUUCAUGCGUUAUCCUAUUCCACGACGCAAGCACACGGCAUAAAGUAUGAACUAGUUAGUUAGUAUAUAUAUAUAUAUAUAUAUGUAUUUUGCCGGUCCUCCGUAAUACACUGUAUACAUUAAUAAAACAUAUUACGUAACAAUUAAUCUUAAUCUAAAUUUGAAUCUCGAAUUCUACAUUUGAAUUUUCUUGGCAAAAGUAGGCCUGGUUUGGAUUGCUUGUUUCCAUCGAAAAAUAUUAUCGUUUUCCGUGAUCACCUUUUUUUCUCACAUAUAUCAAAUCGCUACAGUAAUUUUUUUCAUGAAAAAUGACGGAAAAUGCAAUCCAAACACAACCUAAAUUUAUGCAUAUUAAAGGAUGGGGACAACGUGAGAAUUUUAUGGUGAGCUCGUCCUUAUCGUGGUGGUUAUUCAGUAGUGUGUUUAUCCAUUGCCUCAAGAACGUAAAUGAAAAAAAUAAAAUAAAAUCUGUUGGUUUAUCUUUAUUUAUAAUAAUAAACAUCUGCUUGAACCAAAACAUUCAAAUAUCUUGGGUAUGUCGCAUCGAAUUCAUGAGGCGAAAUAAUAAGACUGGUGUUGAUGCACGAAUAAAAGGGUUCUUAUCGAAAGUGUUACUAUCAUAAUUUUUUUUCGUACUUGUCCCAUUUAAAUAAAAUCUCGGCAAAGGGAGAGGGAGGGAUUCUUUGAUUACCAUUCGCAACUUGCAUUGCCAAUCCCUUUUCUUUAUUUUUCUUGCAUUUGUUUGUUAAUCCAUCAAUAAUCUCAAUGCCAGAUGUUUUUGUUGGCAUCGGAGUCCAUUUGAUUAUGUUGUUUUGCCAAGGGACAAACACAUAUCCCUUUGAAAGCAAAAAGGAGUUGGAAACUAUGCAUAUGCAGCCAGACUGGAAGUUAUAAGAUGACAAUUGAUGGGAAUGGAAAUUACAAGUGAAAAGAUUCAAAGCAUUCUAAAUCGAGAUAAUUGUUAAUUCUCUAUUGUUUUGGUUGAGAUAAUUUUACAAAAUCUGCUGAUUUUAAGCCGGAAGGCAUGCCUGGCUCAUUUUGCGAUUUUCAUCUAUGAUACUUAGUUGAGUAGAGAAAAGCACAAAACUAUUUUCUUUUCUCCUUCAUUUUUUUUUCUUUUUUCCGCUGAAGAAGAUUAAGCAAGCAUCAUUAUUGUUUUUGCACCAGGAAAUUAUAUAUUUCUUCAAGCAGAAAUAUUGCAUCAAAUGGCCAGAUGACUGGAUUCGCUUCAGCUCUAUUUGGAUUAACUAUUUUUUGUGGUGUUUUUGAAAUAUUUUAUUAUAAUAAUAUAUAUAAAAAAAUUUUAUCAUAGAUUUUUUUUUUUUUUAUGUUUAGAAAGAUGUUUUUGAAAUAUAUUUUGUGAUACCUUUUUAAAUUAAAAAAUUUUUAAGGUACCUCUUUAAAAUUAACACUACUAUUCACAACCACCACUCAUCACCGCCACUACUCCCUCCAUCCAUCCAUAUGAAUCUCCACUACAGUAUCAUCCACCGAUCACCCCCACGCAUUAUUAUGUAUCAAUGUAAUAUUAUAUUUAAAAAACUAAUUUUUCAAAAAUAGGCCAAAUCAAACGGAGUUCUUUUUUAUUAACUCGCAGUAAAGGUAUUGAUAAUUUACAUCUUGUUUAUCUCUGUCCACCUUUACCAACAACGCACGUGUUACAGCUGAAGACGCAUGUAUAUAUUACGUGGAGAUCAAGCGGAAAAUAUAUAAUCUUUACUUUUAAUAAGCCUAUAAUCUUGACUCUUACCAAAGCCGUUUUUCUUCUUAAUUGCGGAUGCUAAAGUCUUUUUCUUUAAUUCAUUUAACGCCUUUCCGCAGAGAAAGCCGACAAAAUCAAAAGUACAGACGUUGAUUAUGCUGUUACUUUUACACCUGCUGAUCAGACAAUCAAGAUGAAGGUCGACAGGUUGUACAUUUUAACUUAUAAUAAGCAAAGGAAGCUUCACAGCCUUCACCUCACCUCGAAGGCAACUUUUUUUUCUCUUCAAUUGUUAUAUGCAUACCAAUUCUUACUCCAAUUCUAACUCAGUCGUGGGCCGACAUAACAGGAUCAUGGAAAUUGAUAGAGAUUAAAUCACCAUCAAAUCAUACAGAUACAUUACGUAUCUACAUGAAUCAAAGAGAAGUUUAAGCGAUAACUUUAAUGAAAAACAAAAUUUAAACUAAAUAAUCAUCGAAUUAUACGGAUACACUACGGGCUGCUGGUCAUGGUCCCGCUACUUCCUUUUCCAUCUUUCUGCUGAGUCAUACUGUGUCAGGUUAAUUACAUCUAUAGACGUUAGAAGUGGUGCACAGACACAAGCAACCAACAGAAUUUGGGAUGGUAACCAUCAUCAAAGCAUUAAAUUUGGAUGGAAUGGGAGAUAAAAAUUUAAUUUAUUACAAUUAAAUAUGAUCUUACCUAAAAAAUUUAGGUAAAUGCGUAACGUAUCCGUCCGAUCUAAUGAUGGCACAGUCACUUCCGAAUUACUUUUAAAUUUUUUCAGGUCCUCUCUUUCCCUAUAAUAUAGAAAGCUAUCAUAUUGACCAAAAAAAAAAAAAAAAAAUCACUGAGCAAUCCAUGGGAGGUUUUAUUUAUUACAGGAAAACAAAGAAAGUCUUCUCUCUCUCUCUCUUCUAUGGAUUAUUUUAUAGAGUACUUUGCAAUGCCUUGCAUAGGCAUGGUGUGAAUGUGAUGAGGAUCCUGUUGGUAGUUUCUAAUAUUAAAUGAAAAGAGCUCCAAUGUUCAAUACAUGUUCACAUCUCCGACUCUUCUAAUUUUUAUUUUUUGCCUUAUUUUUGCUACCUGAACUGUAAAGACUGUAUGUGGUCAAGAAAGUUGCACUUAAUUUAUAAUAAUUAAUCUUUUAUAUAUAUUAUGAGUGUAUAUACUUAUAAAUUUAGAUACAAGUCACAUUAUCUCAAUCUAAAUUUACGAGACACUUUGUGACUUUAGACAGUAGAUAAGAAUUGGAAAAUCUAAAAACAUGGAGACAAAUUCUAAAGUAAAAGAAAAAGUUUAAGCUGUAAUAUUUUACUUUAUUUUAAAGUAAACAUUAGUAGAGUUGUAUUUGCCUGCCAUUACAAAAUGCAUGCUAUUAACUAAGUGCCAUAUAUAUUUUUCACCUUAACUUUUUUUUUGGAAAAAAAUUCAGAUGAACUUUCUCCCGUGUAAUUCAAAUUGCAUUUAAAUACGGUCGUCCUACAGAAAUGAUGCUGUCCGCUCUUCAAAGAAUAAAAGGCCAAAAAAACAAAGAAGGUGGGGCCCUCAAAGUGUCAGUAAGUCCUUAAAAACUUGCAGAACAACCUGAUGUGCAGCUUUCGUAGCCGCCGCUUAGAAUAUGCAACGUGGCCCCUCGCCCCCCGUACCAUCGCUCGUUGCCGUCCAAAUCUCCGCCCACUGGCCACUGGGGCAUUGGCAUUGCUGAUGACAGAUGUUCGUUCACACCCAAUUAUUUCAAACCAUGAACCAACCAACCAACCAAAUUGCUUUAAAUACAAAUAAAAAAUUCAAACCAUCAGACCCGUUUGCCUGCCUCUUUAAAUCCGAUUCCAAAUCCAAAGGAGUGCGUUGUAGUGAAAGUGAAACUUCUUCAAUUCAGAUAUGAUUUUAUCAUAUUUUUAAUUUUUCUUGACUCAGUUGAGUCCUUGCUUAAUAAAAAAAAAAAAUUUUUAUUUCAAGCUGUCACCGUGACUUUAAAAUACAAAGAAUGUUGUAUCAGUGCACAUCUGUAGGCUGGACUUCCUUUCAAUUCUUUGUAUAAUCCAAUUGAAGAGUUUUCCUCUUUUUUUUUUUUUUUUCAAAGUAAGAAAAUAUUUAAGUGUUGCCAUUUGUAUAAAAAUAAUAAGGUAGAUAGAGAAAGAAAAAAAGGACUAAAGAUAUGUAAUUGCAAUAAAAUGUAGUUUCACUUACUUGCAAGAAAUUUACAGUGAUGAGGGUUAUGCAAAUAGCAAAUUAAUUCACAAAUAAUUGGAAUUACUACUCCAAAUUUGUAUAUAAAAAAAGAAUUACAACAACUUAAAAAAAAAAAAACACUACAGUACAGGGACCUAACUCCGGGGUUUUGGGUUGAUUGCUGUAUAUUUUUGGGAAAGGAAAAGGGAGAGGGAAAGAAAAGGGUUCUCUAAGUCAAGCAACUUGUCCAAAACGAAACCUGUCUCGUCUAUGACCGUAAAAUGAGUGGUGGUGUUGUACGACACUACUACUAGUAAUUUAACUUUUUCUUCCUUGGAUUAUUUUAUGUUUCAUUAUUCAUCGUCACGAGUGGCACUAUUGACUUAUUCCACAUGAUUCACUUUACUUUUCUUUUUCUUUUUUCUUUUUUGGGUAGGAGGUUCACUUUAGUUAAUCGGAGUGUAAAUUCCUCUUCAACUUUUCACUAUUUCAUUUUUCUUUUAUACUAGUUUCCACGUAACUCAUGUAACACAAAAAAAAAAAAAAAAAAACCAUCACACUUUGAGUUGGUGGUCACCACCAAAACAUUAAAGUUUGGUAGGGUACGAGAUUAGGAGUUCAAAUCAUACCUUCUAUCAAUUACCACAAUAUAUGGAUUUGUUGAACAAAAAUUCAUUUGAAUGCGUGGUGCACUCGCACGGUGCAACGGCGAUUUAUUAACCGCACGCUAUUAAAGCUUUGGAUGACCAAGGCCACCAUAGCACACCAUUUUACCCGGAAACAACACAAAAUAAUAUGCCUCUCCUUCGUCUCUUACUUCAAAGCAGAGUCUUACCUAAAUCAAUUCCUUUCUUCGGUUGGUUAAUUUUUUUCUAGUUUUUUUUCUCAUUUUCUGGCUCCUAGUCCUUUUUUUUUUUCUCUGCAACAAUAUUGAUUUUAUAAUCUAUCAUAUUCUUCAUACCAACAUUAAAUCAAAAAGAUGUUCAAACAUGUCUUUUAAAAUUUUUCUUUUAAUUGAGAUUCAAAUUCCCGGCCUAUAAUUCAAAAUUCAACUUAACCCCACUCAUACUGCAUUUUUCACGCACUCCGUCCAUCACUCCUAGUCCUAUCUUUUCCAGCUCCUACCCGACUUGUUAUAAAUAGCCUACCUCCAUCACGGCUGGUUCACAGCACAUGCUUUCCUCAGAAAAAUUCUUUAUCCUUCUCCACCAAAAAAGAAAAAAUCCAACUCUUCCCCUGUCAACAUCAUCAGAAAAUACAGUAGAAAAUACGCAUUAUACUACCGCUACACUCAACUCUCAUCCCAUACGUAAAACCGUACUCAACCAUCCUUGUUUAAUUUUCUUUCUUUCAUUCAUUCUUUAAUCCAAGAAAUCAACACAAACUCACAAGACCAAUCUUACCCCUCGUCUCCCCCUUUAUAUUUCUAGGCUCCCUCCCCACAUUUCCCAACUCAGUCUUCUCCGGCCCUCCGCCACAGAAAAGAAAUCCCAGAACAUGGCGACUCUUUCGUUGCUUCUCUUGUUUUCUUUGCUUUCUUUCUCAUCAGCUGAGGACAUGUCCAUCCUGAGCUACGGUAACGCAAACCUAAAGACGAGUGGCAGUGGGAGGACGGAUGAAGAAGUGAUGGCCUUGUACGAGGAAUGGCUAGUGAAACAUGGCAAGUCGUACAACGGCCUAGGAGAGAAAGAUAAAAGGUUUGAAAUUUUUAAGGAUAAUCUUAGGUACAUCGACGAACAAAACAGCUUGCCCAGCAGGACGUACCAGCUCGGGCUGAACCGAUUUGCUGAUCUGAGCAACGAGGAGUACCGUUCUACUUACUUGGGAACCCGCCCUGAUCCCAAAAGGAGGUUGGCCAAGACUUCCAGCGAUCGCUACCGUCCAAAAGUAGGUGAUAGCCUGCCGAACUCCAUUGACUGGAGAGAAAAAGGUGCUGUUCUUCCGGUCAAAGAUCAGGGAAGCUGUGGUAUGAAGUUUUCCUAGCUCUGUAUUUUACUUUGAUUUUUAUUUUAUUUAUUUAUUUUUUUCAUCUUGCUUGAUGGUUAGAUUUGUUGGAGCCUGUUUUAUUUGCAAAAUUUUUUGCUUAAAACUCCUCUGGUCAGUAUGUUUUGGUCGAGAAUUAUUUAUUUAUUUAUUUAUUUAUUAUUAUUUUGUGUUUUUUAAAUGAAUAGAUGUAGAAAAUUUUUGGAAAAUCCGAGUAGGAAAUGAAUAUAAGUAGCCAAAGAAAAAAAAGGUAAUCAAGCUGUAGUACUAGCAAGUAGAGUUUUAUUAUGGACAAAGUUGGUGGGUAUUUUGGUGAAUCGGAAAUCUAGAUUAAUUAUUGCUUUGGGUGAAUAUUAAGUAUUAAUUGCUUUGGUUUGUCGUACAUCUUUACCUGGGCCUUUUUAUUUAAACAAAGAAAAAGGAAAAUAAAAAUUCAACCAGAGUUAUUUAUUUAUUUUUUGACUUUCCCGUGAAAUUCAAGUUCGGCUUUGAAACUAUUGGUAGAUUAGACUCUUUUUUUUUUUUUUUCUCCAAGUUUUAAUUGCUUAUAUAAUAAUUUUUCUAAUGUUGUUGAUGUUGCUACAUUAAUUCUUUUUAUUUUCUCUCAAGAUUAAGCCCCCUUAUCAUUCCGUAGUUGUGCCUUAUUAACAGUUCCCACCUGUUGCUAUAAUGGACAACUUCUUGCUCCGGCAAAAUACUCCACCACACUUCCUUUUAGUAGCUACCAAAUAUUUUGGUCGUGCCUAAUUUCUGGCCUGCCUAACUUACUUGCGAACAUUAAUUUCUUUGUUGUUAGUUCAUCUUAUGUUGGUGAGCAUCCAAUUUCACAAGAUACUAGCAGCAGUAUAUACAUGUUCGGAUUUGGGAAGGAAUGUAGUUGUUGCAGGCCUUAUUGGUGAUGGUGUCCUUGAUUUUCUUUUACACGGGAACGAUAUUAAUGGCCCUUGUUUCAAAGAUCUGUAUGCGACUCAUUAAUGGUGUAAUUUUUUGUCGUUUGCCACUUACCCUUGUUAAUGUCUGUGUGCUAAUCUUACAUUAUUGUUUUGUGGAUGAAUUUAAUGGGAAAACGAAGGGAGUUGCUGGGCCUUCUCAGCAGUUGCUGCCGUGGAAGGGAUCAACCAGAUUGUGACUGGUGAUUUGAUCUCCCUGUCUGAGCAAGAACUAGUGGAUUGUGAUACUUCUUAUGAUGAAGGCUGCAACGGUGGCCUCAUGGACUAUGCGUUUGAGUUCAUCAUCAACAAUGGUGGCAUUGAUACUGAGGAAGACUAUCCGUACAGAGGCAGGGACAUGACGUGUGACACAUACAGGGUACGUAUUGAAUUCUUUAUGUUAGUUUAAAAAAAAAAGAAAUUAAUCAGCAAAAAAAAUAAUGACUAAGAACCUAGCUCUUGCUUGCAGAAAAAUGCCAGGGUGGUCACAAUUGACGGCUAUGAAGAUGUAAUUCCCUAUGAUGAGAGGGCACUGCAGAAGGCCGUGGCCAAUCAACCCGUCAGUGUUGCCAUUGAAGGUUCUAGCAGAGAUUUCCAACUCUAUUUGAAGGUGAGUUCCAUCCAUCUUUCUAGUCAUUGAGAAAUGCCAAAAAAGUUUUCCUUCGUCGAAUGAAUAUGUUUUCGUGAUUUAAAGUGAGGAUGUUUGCAAUCAUUGCAACAAUGAUGUAUAUACGGAAACUUUUAUGUUGUCAGCAAAUAAUUGUUUAAUUAGUUAAUUUGUGUUCUUCCUAGUACUUCACUACAACUGAAAGGUAAUGGUUUAGCUCCUUUCUAGUAUUGAAAACUGGUUCCCAUUCACCUCGUAAUUUUGUUGGUUUACCAGGAGCAAGACUCUUAAUUUUUUAGUGUAGAAGGCUACAACUCGCGAGGUUUUCGAGUUCAGUGCUGAACUCUCUGUAAUUCUAUAGGGAUAGGACACAGCAUGCUGCUUAGUUCUGCACGGUUUCUGCCCUUUACUUGCCUGUUAAUAUAUAUUUACUUUGAACAACUUCAGGGUUUAUUCACCGGCAACUGUGGGACUGCAUUAGAUCACGGUGUGAAUGUGGUUGGAUAUGGUACAGCAAACGGUAAGGAUUAUUGGAUCGUCAGGAACUCAUGGGGUGCAGAGUGGGGGGAGGAUGGCUACAUCAGGAUGGAGCGUAAUGUCAAAGCAACCUCAGGCUUAUGUGGCAUCACCAGUGAGCCCUCUUACCCUGUCAAGAAAGGCCCAAAUCCUCCCAAUCCUGGUCCUUCCCCUCCAUCUCCAAUCAAGCCUCCGGCGGCCUGUGAUAAUUACUAUGAAUGCCCACAGGACAACACCUGCUGCUGUGUCUUCGAGUUCUAUGGCUCGUGCUUCGAAUGGGGAUGCUGCCCUCUAGAAGGUGCCGUAUGCUGUGAAGACCACUACAGCUGCUGCCCCCACGAUUACCCCGUUUGCCACGUUCAGUCAGGCACUUGCUCACUUGUAAGUAAAUGCUGUCAUUUAACUCGUCCUUGGAUAAUUUUCUUGCAGAUACACCGAGUUUUAUCUUGCUUAUAAAACCAACUUUCUUGUUUUAACACAGAGCAAGGACAACCCUCUUGGAGUGAAGGUUAUGAAGCACAUGCUUGCUAGGCCUAUUAAGAGGGUGAAGUCAGGCACAGAAGGAAUGAAGAGCAGCUCUUAAAAAAACCUGAUGACCAAUCUGUAAGUGGUGUGGAUAAAGGAAAGGAAAGGCAGAGGAAUAUCACAAAUUCGCAUGGUGCCCCCUUCCUGUUUUCCAUACCACCACUGAAGUUACAGAAUCCCGAUUGAUUGAUUAAAGAUAUGAUUAGACGGUCAUCUGUAUAUAGGCUUUAAAUAUCUAUAUCUAAAACUUCUAUUCGAACAAACAGAACAAGUAGAACAUUCAUCUGCUGCUACAAUCUGAUUUGCUUAUGUGUACUUAAAUCUUAUUUAAAUGCUGGCUUGGAUUUCAUUUCGGUUGCUGGCGAUCUGUUUCCUUUUAACAGUUUAUGUAGGCACUGGCCAAAAGAUGGUCAUGUAAAGGCUUUAGAGAAAACCAUUCUGGGAAAUAUUUUUGAGAUCUUCACGAGGCCGGUGAACUUUUAAUGAACGAGGGCGGUUGGUUGAUUAUCAUCGGCUAUGUGAAUUUAGUGCAGCACUAUUUCUUCUACAGAUUUUCUUAUGAACACAUCCUAUCCAUAUUUAUAUUGCAGAAGAAAUCAAAGAAUGAGCUAAAGCAAAUAAAAAUUGAUCUCAGACUAUGCAAAUAAUAAGAGCAUUUAGUAAAUGAAAAAAUAAUAACAGAAAGAGGGAAGAAGUGAUAGCAUGAAAUAAUGGAAAAGAAAAGGAAAUGAGAAGAAAGAGAAAGGGAAAUAAAAAUAUUGCAAAAAAUACGAAAAAUUAUAUAGCUAGAAGCCCAUAAUAAUUGGGAAGAAAGCAAAGUGAUAUUAGCCUGAAUAUGAGGGGGAAAUACCUUCCAUUUGUAUUUUAUGAACUUCUCCACUUCUCUUGGAAGUGAUGCAGAAUAGACCAAAAAGAGAAGCUGAUACUACAUACAGUACUGUUUCUUAAUGACUUUGAAUUGAAUGAAUUUUGAAACUCUGCAUGAUGAUUAAAGUGCUAAAUCUUUGAUUAUUGUUUAGAUUUAGUAUAUUGUGUUGGAAGAUUCAGUUCAAUACAUGCCAUAAAAUUUCAAAAUUCCCUUUUUUUUUUUUUUGUUGCAAUGUUAAUCGACCGUGUAUAAUUAAUUGUACAUGUAACAAAGACAAAAUUCUGAAACCUAACCUAAAUACUGCAUAUAAACUUACUUUGGACAAUACUCCCAGAAUCAUUAGGACAAACCAUCAUAUUGUUUGAGAUUCAAAUCAACGAGUCGUAUGAUUGAAAGGGGCCACAUCAAUGUCCUGUUAAACAUCGCCAUUAUUUUUCUCAGAAUAUACGCACCACCUUGCAAGAAAAGCCCAAAAAACUUGGGGUUAGGGUUUGGGACCAUCCAAUCUGUCAAAGAUUGGAUAUCAUAUCCAGCUUCACGCGCCACAAUUUGAUCCUCGUUCUUUGCUCGCUCAUCUUUUUGUCCAUCUUUUAUCUUCUUUUUUCUUCUUUCGCUUUCAUGGUAUAUCUGUUCCUUUUUCAGUCAAGAUGCUCUUUUCUACUUAGUGGAAAAGUUAAAAAAAAGAGUAGCAAUAUCUGAAGUUUAUCAUUUUGUUUUUCUCUCAAUCCCAGUUUGCCUCUGUCAAUUGCAAAAAUUUUUAUUGCUUUCUUUCUAGUUUUCGAAAGGAAUGAAUUGACAAUUGGGUAGAGCUAAGGAUUAAUAGCCUCAUCUCAUCAUCUGUAGACAAAUUUUAGUGUAUCCUUGGCAACUUUGUGACAGCAUCAUCAAUUACAAGUCCUGCUAAUGAAACAACAAAGAACAGACGAGCAAUCUAUAUAUAUAUAUAUAUAUAUCAUCAGCUCCUGGGUGUGUUUGGAUUGCAGAUUUUCAAAGAAAAAUUGCUAUGUUUUUCGUGGAUAUAUUUUUUAAUUAUCUUUUUACCUUACACGUAUCAAAUCGCCGUAGUAAUUUUUCUACAAAAAAAAAAAAAUCCAAAAAAAUACAAUCCAAACGCACGCUUAUUAGUCAGCAAACUAGCAAUCGUAAAGUGCAAUUAAGCGUGACAACAUUAGAUUGGAUAUCCGUUUGUACCUCUACUCUAUGGUUCCAAAAUCAGAAGCACUACGUAAUACUCCAUAACCUACAUUUUGGUGGCCAAAGAAAAAAAAAUUUAUAUGGCAAAUAGUGGGAUAUUGGCACAUAGCUGCAGUUACAAGUGGGUAAGUAGGAAGCAAAAUUUAAAUCCAUUCCCUAGAUGCAGAUAUAGCAGAUAUAUAUAUAUAUAUAUAUAAUGAUGUGAUAUGUAGUUGUGUACUAACAACUUGAAUGUGACACUGUUUCCUCCAAGAGAUGGAGAUGUGGUACAAGAAGAAGUUAGGUUGAAUCGAAAAUCCAAGAUAUUUCUAUUGGGCCGACGCCAUUAAUUUCAAACAACCGGAUUUCAGAUUACUACUGGUGACAUUUUCAUCUCCUUCCAACCCUGUCUUUAUUGCCCCUGAGACAAGUGUUGUCACCAUUAACUUGGAACUACGUUGUAUUAUAUAUACUGCUGUUGCUGCUGCUGCUGCGCUUAUCUGUAUAUCGCAGGAAUAUGUUGCAUAAUUAGAAGAAGUUGUCCUCUUACAAAAAAGGACAACUCAAAUUAUGUGCGUUAAUUGUAAUGUUAUUCAAAUGCAUUCCUUCCGCUUGUCUUGACCCGAUGAUCGUAAUCUUGGUUGAAUCGAUUAUAAUCUUGUAUCGUUAUCUAAAGGCCACAAAGCAUAACUCAAAAUUGCGUUAAAGACAAUUGGAUUCUAAGUUAUCCAUAAUAACAUUUCUUGUCUCAAUUCCAGAUAGAACAUGGAGUGCAUGUAUGUGGAUUUGAGGAUCAAAAAUCUCAAACAUAAUGUUGAAGAUUGCAGUUUGCAAGAAGAGCUGAGAUUCAUUUAAUUUAUACACAAUUUUAUACAUCUAAAAUUAAGCUGCCAGCGCCAAUCCAAUACUCUUCUUGACAGUCUUAACAUUAGAAUCAUGACAACGGUAAGAACUAACAUCCAGCUAUUUAAUUAAGGUUCAGAGCACACUCUUCUUCUGACUGGGGUCCAAACCCCAGUUUCACUACCCUACAUUCCACUCCUAAACUAUGGCUUAA
rnacentral:lncRNA from 1 species